AUUGAAAGCUGGCGGCAGGCCUAACACAUGCAAGUCGAGAGGAGCGGCGGACGGGUGAGUAAUGCCUAGGAAUCUGCCUGGUAGUGGGGGAUAACGUCCGGAAACGGGCGCUAAUACCGCAUACUAUCAGAUGAGCCUAGGUCGGAGUAGCUAGGUGGUGGGGGAAAGGCCUACCAAGGCGACGAUCCGUAACUGGUCGGAGAGGAUGAUCAGUCACGCUGUAACUGAGACACGGUCCACACUCCUACGGGAGGCAGCAGUGGUGAAUAUUGGACAGUGGUCGAAAGCCUGAUCCAUCCAGGCCGCGUGUGUGAAGAAGGUAUUCUGAUUGUAAAGCACUUUAAGUUGGGAGGCGUUACCAACAGAAUAAGCACCGGCUAACUUCGGGCCAGCAGCCGCGGUAAUAC
rnacentral:rRNA from 1 species